ensembl:lncRNA
GUUCCCUAUGAGAUAUAGAGCGAAGGUGCCUGCUUUCCCUGGGACAGCCCCAGUUCAUACCUGAUUUCAAGGACCUUUCUGCUCCCCCUCAGGGUUUUCCCAACUGGAGCUCAUCCUGGCAGCAUCCUGGUUGACACUGGAGGUGGACUGAAUCCUGCCCACAGGUAGCCCUGCAACAGAAGAAGCCUCCACAAUGAGAAGACCUUGCACUGCACCGAAGACCCAGAGCAGCCAAAAAUCACCAAAACUAAACAAAACAGAAACAAGGGGCACCGGAGCAAAGAACUUCCCCAAAGUCCUCAGCAGGCUUCCUCUCACAUCUUCACGCCUGGCAUGGCUUCAUAUGCCCAUAGGGCAGGCAAAGGGAACAGACGACUAUGAUUUGCUUAGAUUCUGGACAAUCAGCAUUCCACCUCUGGGGCUUGAGAGGAAGCCAGCCUCCCCUGAAG